GUGCUCGCUUCGGCAGCACAUAUACUAAAAUUGGAACAAUACAGAGAUCACCAUGGCCCCUGCGCAAGGAUGACAACCCAGGAGGAUUUAGCCAUUGAG
ensembl:snRNA U6 U6 spliceosomal RNA